CUGUUGGACAUUAUACAAACUACAAGCUUGAGGUAAUUUAGGCUUCCAACAUUAGAUUCCUGCACUUGAGCUGAUGGAUUUCUUUGCUGGGUUGGGUUUUUGGAGGUAACUGAGAUGAAAAAGCAAGUAUCACACUAAAAUCAAUGUGGAACAGAAAAUGAGGGCAGUGGUGUCCAGCCUGAUUCCAAGGUCUGAGAAGGUAUGCGGUUCCCAACAGGUGCUGAGUUGUUAGGACAGAUACUUAAGUUGUUUGGACCAAACCACUCAUUAUACAGAACUGCCUGGUAUUUGUGUUGACUUGUGGGUGCUGUGAAAAAAUUACUGAGACACUGAGGAUGCUGUGAAUGGAGAAUGUAGGAGAGCCUCUGGAAUCUCUGCACUGAUAGUGUAAAUGGCUGAUAGUAUGCCUUUCCUGAUGGUAGAGAGUCAUCUUCAUGAGGGAGGCUGAGGGUGAAAUCAAGGUAGGGCACAAGAGAGAUGGGAAAGAGAAAGAAAUGGAAAGUUUGACACACCUCACUGUAAUGACUUUAUAAUUUGCCUGCAGCCUCAUCCCUGACCAGUGACAUUUCUAAUGGCUCUCUCCAAGCCGUGACCACACACACCACUCCAGAGAGCACACCUGUGUUCUCCCUUGGUCAAAGACAUACCUUGAAAGACAGUUCAAGGUUUUCACCACCUCGCAGUGACAUGAGAGGGUCAUAUGCUCCAGUGUUUUGGAAGUAACGUCUGUCCACGGCCACUACUUCGCUGGGAACCACAGGGCUCCUGGACAGGGGAAGAUGAACAAGAGACUGCUGUUCACAACCCAGAGCACAGCAGGAAAACUGGGGACUUAGGACUUCCCAGAGACCUGAGGCCAAAGGAUUUCCAGUGUUCCCUGGUGAGAGAGCCCGGUCAAGAUCACAGCUCAGCUUCUUCACUUUCCCACCUGGAGCAUCGACAGGCGCUGUGUGGAAUUGCUUCGCAGAACUUCACUAAUACAACAAUAUGACAGUGGUAACACCUACACCUGAGUGCCUGGCACUCUCUAGGUGCUUUUUAUAUAUUAACUCAUUCAAUCUUCACAACAACCCUAUAAGGCAAAGAGAACUUAAUCCUUCUGGGUCUCUGCUAUUUUGGGGUACCCUGAGUUGACCUAAGAAAACUGAGAAGCAGCAUCAAAGAGAAAAGGAGGACACGCGGACCCCUCUCAAGUCUUCACUUACUCUGGAAUGGACUGGGCAGAUGGAAUGGAUUUGGCUAUUGGCAAAACAUUUCGUGGAAUUUCAGAAUCAAGAGCCAGGAAAACCAUGUGGCUAGGUUUUGAAGAAUCACAUCAAAUUUGUGCCAGCUUCAUCAAUCAUAACAAGAGAAGAAAGGAAACUGCAUUCAAGCAUCCACAUAAUUCACCUGAGACCUUUGUGCUGUGGACUUCUUGACAAAAGUGUACAUUAUUUUUUUAUCAGAAAAUGAGAACUCUAAAAUUCACUGUAUUUCUCUUUUUGCAUUGUCUUUCUGGAAGCCCAAAGUCUUUUGUAAAACUCACUUCUAAUAACUGUAUUACCCCUGAUUCCUAAAACCUUCUUUUCUUUUCUGAAAUCUCAUUUUUCCUCAAUUUUAACUGGGUACAUAAGUGAUUAAUCAUGAGCCUUCUUGAGUAUAUUUCAGGUAGUGAUGAAGAAUAAAAUAUCAAUAAAUGAAGUGAGCCAUA